ensembl:ncRNA K01D12.18 ncRNA
UGGAGCCGGAGCCGGUGGAGCGGCUGCUUUGGUUGCACUUGCACUGGCUUUUGGUGGUUUCUUUCCGAACAAUUCGUCAUCAAUAUCAACGUCAAGAUCGGUGUUUUUGUGAUUUCCGAUUGCAUCGACUGGCACAAAUGCUGAUUUGUC